GUGCUGAAAGGAGAGUGAAAGGUAUGGGAGUUGUCCCCAUGAUUCCAACCUGAGUGGACAUGCCGUCAGUCUUCUCUGCUGCAGCGACAUUUGGUUUUUUUACUAUGGCAAUUCAGGCCUCAAGAGGUUUUUUCUCCAAGAUCAGACUUGUGGACAAUUGCAGUAGUGUUUGGAUAGAUCUCCAGGCUGGUUUUCCCAAGUAAAGUACAAAUUGAUUCUGUUUUAACUUUGGCGUGAGGGAGACAAGUCAGUGACUCAGAUCAUCAACCGGUUCACGGAGAAUUAUUGUCGGUUUGUAGAGGGUGUGGACGUUCCUCGUUGUUUGGUGGAUAACUACUUAGGAGUCCAUCUUGAGGACUGCAACGUUCCUUCGUGUGAUGGUCACACAACUUGCUACCAUGGUGACGGCUCCGACUAUCAGGACGGGGGCCGGUUUACUGAGAGUGGUUACCAGUGCCUCCAAUGGGAUGCUGUUCAGCAUCUUGGGGUAAAUGGCACAGUGUACCCAUCAGCAGAUCUGAGAGAGAACUUGUGCAGGAACCCAAAUGGUGAAAGUCGACCUUGGUGCUACUUCUUUGCAAAUGGCAGAGUGCAGAAAGGAUUUUGUCCAAUUCCAGAAUGUAAGGUCAUCUUUUGUUAAAUAUCUC